CGGGGACGACGUCAAGUCAUCAUGGCCCUUACGACCAGGGCUACACACGUGCUACAAUGGUCGGUACAAAGGGUUGCUACCUAGCGAUAGGAUGCUAAUCUCAAAAAGCCGAUCGUAGUCCGGAUUGGAGUCUGCAACUCGACUCCAUGAAGUCGGAAUCGCUAGUAAUCGCGGAUCAGAAUGCCGCGGUGAAUACGUUCCCGGGCCUU
rnacentral:rRNA from 1 species